CCUACGGGUGGCAGCAGUGGGGAAUAUUGCACAAUGGGCGAAAGCCUGAUGCAGCAACGCCGCGUGAAGGAAGAAGGGUUUCGGCUCGUAAACUUCUAUUAACAGGGACGAAAGAAAUGACGGUACCUGAAUAAGAAGCCCCGGCUAACUACGUGCCAGCAGCCGCGGUAAUACGUAGGGGGCAAGCGUUAUCCGGAAUUACUGGGUUUAAAGGGUGCGUAGGCGGAUUUUUAAGUCAGCGGUAAAAUGUCCGGGCUCAACCCGGGCCGGCCGUUGAAACUGGGGAUCUUGAGUGGGCGAGAAGUAUGCGGAAUGCGUGGUGUAGCGGUGAAAUGCAUAGAUAUCACGCAGAACUCCGAUUGCGAAGGCAGCAUACCGGCGCCCGACUGACGCUGAGGCACGAAAGCGUGGGGAUCGAACAGGAUUAGAUACCCUAGUAGUC
rnacentral:rRNA from 1 species